UACAGAGGUCUCAAGCGUUGUUCGGAUUCAUUGGGCGUAAAGGGUGCGUAGGCGGCGCGGUAAGUCGGGUGUGAAAUCUCGGAGCUUAACUCCGAAACUGCAUUCGAUACUGCCGUGCUUGAGGACUGGAGAGGAGACUGGAAUUUACGGUGUAGCGGUGAAAUGCGUAGAUAUCAGGAGGAACACCGGUGGCGAAGGCGGGUCUCUGGGCCGAUACUGACGCUGAGGAGCGAAAGCGUGGGGAGCAAACAGG
rnacentral:rRNA from 1 species